rnacentral:rRNA from 1 species
UACGUAGGGGCCUAGCGUUGUCCGGAUUUAUUGGGCGUAAAGAGCUCGUAGGCGGUUCGGUAAGUCAGGUGUGAAAUCUCCACGCUCAACGUGGAGGCGCCACCUGAAACUGCCGUGACUCGAGUCCGGUAGGGGAGUGUGGAAUUCCAGGUGUAGCGGUGAAAUGCGUAGAUAUCUGGAGGAAUACCGGUGGCGAAGGCGGCAUCCUGGACCGGCAUUGACGCUGAGGAGCGAAAGCCAGGGGAGCAAACGGG